rnacentral:rRNA from 1 species
CUUGGUCAUUUAGAGGAAGUAAAAGUCGUAACAAGGUUUCCGUAGGUGAACCUGCGGAAGGAUCAUUACCGAGUUGAUUCGGGCUCCGGCCCGAUCCUCCCACCCUUUGUGUACCUACCUCUGUUGCUUUGGCGGGCCGCGGUCCUCCGCGGCCGCCCCCCUCCCCGGGGGGUGGCCAGCGCCCGCCAGAGGACCAUCAAACUCCAGUCAGUAAACGAUGCAGUCUGAAAAACAUUUAAUAAACUAAAACUUUCAACAACGGAUCUCUUGGUUCUGGCAUCGAUGAAGAACGCAGCGAAAUGCGAUAAGUAAUGUGAAUUGCAGAAUUCAGUGAAUCAUCGAAUCUUUGAACGCACAUUGCGCCCUUUGGUAUUCCGAAGGGCAUGCCUGUUCGAGCGUCAUUACAACCCUCAAGCUCUGCUUGGUAUUGGGCACCGUCCUUUGCGGGCGCGCCUCAAAGACCUCGGCGGUGGCGUCUUGCCUCAAGCGUAGUAGAACAUACAUCUCGCUUCGGAGCGCAGGGCGUCGCCCGCCGGACGAACCUUCUGAACUUUUCUCAAGGUUGACCUCGGAUCAGGUAGGGAUACCCGCUGAACUUAAGCAUAUCAAUAAGCGGGAGGAAAGAAACCAACAGGGAU